UGGGAAUAUUGGACAAUGGGCGAAAGCCUGAUCCAGCCAUGCCGCGUGUGUGAAGAAGGUCUUCGGAUUGUAAAGCACUUUAAGUUGGGAGGAAGGGCAUUAACCUAAUACGUUAGUGUUUUGACGUUACCGACAGAAUAAGCACCGGCUAACUCUGUGCCAGCAGCCGCGGUAAUACAGAGGGUGCAAGCGUUAAUCUGAAUUACUGGGCGUAAAGCGCGCGUAGGUGGUUUGUUAAGUUGGAUGUGAAAUCCCCGGGCUCAACCUGGGAACUGCAUUCAAAACUGACUGACUAGAGUAUGGUAGAGGGUGGUGGAAUUUCCUGUGUAGCGGUGAAAUGCGUAGAUAUAGGAAGGAACACCAGUGGCGAAGGCGACCACCUGGACUAAUACUGACACUGAGGUGCGAAAGCGUGGGGAGCAAACA
rnacentral:rRNA from 1 species